AUGCCAGGAGUUACCGUAAAAGAGGUAAACCAGCAGGAGUUCGUCAGAGCUUUUGCAGCCUUUUUCAAAAAGUCUGGGAAGCUGAAAGUUCCCGAAUGGGUGGACCCAGUCAAGCUGGUCAAGUAUGAAGAGCUUGCUCCCUAUGAUGAGAACUGGUUCUACACACGAGCUGCUUCCACAGCAUGGCACAAGUACCUCUUGGGCGGUGCCAUGACCAAGGGUGACAAAAGAGAAAUGGUGUCAUGCCCAGCCACUUCAGUAGAGGCUGCAAGAGUGUGGCCCAUCAUGUCCUCCAAGCCCUAGAGGGGCUGAAAAUGGUGGAAAAGGACCAAGAUGGGGGCUGCAAGCUGACACCUCAGGGACAGAGAGAUUUAGACAGAAUCGCUGGACAGGUGGCAGAUGCCAACAAGAAGCAUUAGAACAAAGGAUCCUGGGUUAAUAAAUUGCGUCAUUCA